CGUGCGACCUCUCUGGAAAGUUUUCAAUUCAGAAUAUGAUCGGACCGUUUAUUUCACUAACUGCAACUGUCUCGUCCCAAACCCUGCAACGCUUCUGCCCCUUGACAGACACAUAUUGACACCGCCGUUCUCUAACUACAGUAAACCCAAUAUCUGGAGUCUUUGAAAUCUGUAAUGCUGCUAAUCCUCUCAUAUCAAAGGAUGUGUUCCUCUACCUUGCAGGAUGGACUGCUACUACUCAAACAUCUAGCCGCACCCAGCCUGUGGAGCUCUCUCAGGUAACAUUUGUUUCUGGAGCAAAUUUUCAUACAUACUGUAGGGUGUAGCUCAAAGUGCUUUACAAGAUAUAAAUAAAAAAUAAGAAAAGAACAACAAAUUAGAAAUAGAUAAAAUAAUCAUGAAGAAAUACCAAAAAUAAUAAGUAUAAAUCAAUAUGUACUUACAUUACAUAGAAAUACUGAUAAUAGAAAAUGUUCUAUGCAGAAAUAUUUGUGCCCAAUGUUACAUAUGGCCUACUGUUUAAAUAAGUACCUUAAACAUAGGAAAGAUGCUAUAUAAAUAAAAUGCAUUAUUAUUAUGUAUUAU